GCCCCCGUGGUGAAACGGUAUUCACACUAGAUUUAAGCUCUGGGGUUAUGAGUUCAAAUCUCAUCGGCGGCA
rnacentral:tRNA from 1 species